rnacentral:sRNA from 1 species
GCGCUGUGCCAGCUACAAGGGGGGGAGU